GGGUUGUGAGGUUAAGCGACUAAGCGUACACGGUGGAUGCCCUGGCAGUCAGAGGCGAUGAAGGACGUGCUAAUCUGCGAUAAGCGUCGGUAAGGUGAUAUGAACCGUUAUAACCGGCGAUUUCCGAAUGGGGAAACCCAGUGUGAUUCGUCACACUAUCAUUAACUGAAUCCAUAGGUUAAUGAGGCGAACCGGGGGAACUGAAACAUCUAAGUACCCCGAGGAAAAGAAAUCAACCGAGAUUCCCCCAGUAGCGGCGAGGCGAACGGGGGAGCAGCCCAGAGCCUGAAUCAGUGUGUGUGUUAGUGGAAGCGUCUGGAAAGGCGCGCGAUACAGGGUGACAGCCCCGUACACAAAAAUGCACAUGCUGUGAGCUCGAUGAGUAGGGCGGGACACGUGGUAUCCUGUCUGAAUAUGGGGGGACCAUCCUCCAAGGCUAAAUACUCCUGACUGACCGAUAGUGAACCAGUACCGUGAGGGAAAGGCGAAAAGAACCCCGGCGAGGGGAGUGAAAAAGAACCUGAAACCGUGUACGUACAAGCAGUGGGAGCACGCUUCGGCGUGUGACUGCGUACCUUUUGUAUAAUGGGUCAGCGACUUAUAUUCUGUAGCAAGGUUAACCGAAUAGGGGGAGCCGAAGGGAAACCGAGUCUUAACUGGGCGUUAAGUUGCAGGGUAUAGACCCGAAACCCGGUGAUCUAGCCAUGGGCAGGUUGAAGGUUGGGUAACACUAACUGGAGGACCGAACCGACUAAUGUUGAAAAAUUAGCGGAUGACUUGUGGCUGGGGGUGAAAGGCCAAUCAAACCGGGAGAUAGCUGGUUCUCCCCGAAAGCUAUUUAGGUAGCGCCUCGUGAAUUCAUCUCCGGGGGUAGAGCACUGUUUCGGCAAGGGGGUCAUCCCGACUUACCAACCCGAUGCAAACUGCGAAUACCGGAGAAUGUUAUCACGGGAGACACACGGCGGGUGCUAACGUCCGUCGUGAAGAGGGAAACAACCCAGACCGCCAGCUAAGGUCCCAAAGUCAUGGUUAAGUGGGAAACGAUGUGGGAAGGCCCAGACAGCCAGGAUGUUGGCUUAGAAGCAGCCAUCAUUUAAAGAAAGCGUAAUAGCUCACUGGUCGAGUCGGCCUGCGCGGAAGAUGUAACGGGGCUAAACCAUGCACCGAAGCUGCGGCAGCGACACUAUGUGUUGUUGGGUAGGGGAGCGUUCUGUAAGCCUGCGAAGGUGGCCUGUGAGGGUUGCUGGAGGUAUCAGAAGUGCGAAUGCUGACAUAAGUAACGAUAAAGCGGGUGAAAAGCCCGCUCGCCGGAAGACCAAGGGUUCCUGUCCAACGUUAAUCGGGGCAGGGUGAGUCGACCCCUAAGGCGAGGCCGAAAGGCGUAGUCGAUGGGAAACAGGUUAAUAUUCCUGUACUUGGUGUUACUGCGAAGGGGGGGGACGGGAGAAGGCUAUGUUGGCCGGGCGACGGUUGUCCCGGUUUAAGCGUGUAGGCUGGUUUUCCAGGCAAAUCCGGAAAAUCAAGGCUGAGGCGUGAUGACGAGGCACUACGGUGCUGAAGCAACAAAUGCCCUGCUUCCAGGAAAAGCCUCUAAGCAUCAGGUAACAUCAAAUCGUACCCCAAACCGACACAGGUGGUCAGGUAGAGAAUACCAAGGCGCUUGAGAGAACUCGGGUGAAGGAACUAGGCAAAAUGGUGCCGUAACUUCGGGAGAAGGCACGCUGAUACGUAGGUGAAGUCCCUCGCGGAUGGAGCUGAAAUCAGUCGAAGAUACCAGCUGGCUGCAACUGUUUAUUAAAAACACAGCACUGUGCAAACACGAAAGUGGACGUAUACGGUGUGACGCCUGCCCGGUGCCGGAAGGUUAAUUGAUGGGGUUAGCGGUAACGCGAAGCUCUUGAUCGAAGCCCCGGUAAACGGCGGCCGUAACUAUAACGGUCCUAAGGUAGCGAAAUUCCUUGUCGGGUAAGUUCCGACCUGCACGAAUGGCGUAAUGAUGGCCAGGCUGUCUCCACCCGAGACUCAGUGAAAUUGAACUCGCUGUGAAGAUGCAGUGUACCCGCGGCAAGACGGAAAGACCCCGUGAACCUUUACUAUAGCUUGACACUGAACAUUGAGCCUUGAUGUGUAGGAUAGGUGGGAGGCUUUGAAGUGUGGACGCCAGUCUGCAUGGAGCCGACCUUGAAAUACCACCCUUUAAUGUUUGAUGUUCUAACGUUGACCCGUUAUCCGGGUUGCGGACAGUGUCUGGUGGGUAGUUUGACUGGGGCGGUCUCCUCCUAAAGAGUAACGGAGGAGCACGAAGGUUGGCUAAUCCUGGUCGGACAUCAGGAGGUUAGUGCAAUGGCAUAAGCCAGCUUGACUGCGAGCGUGACGGCGCGAGCAGGUGCGAAAGCAGGUCAUAGUGAUCCGGUGGUUCUGAAUGGAAGGGCCAUCGCUCAACGGAUAAAAGGUACUCCGGGGAUAACAGGCUGAUACCGCCCAAGAGUUCAUAUCGACGGCGGUGUUUGGCACCUCGAUGUCGGCUCAUCACAUCCUGGGGCUGAAGUAGGUCCCAAGGGUAUGGCUGUUCGCCAUUUAAAGUGGUACGCGAGCUGGGUUUAGAACGUCGUGAGACAGUUCGGUCCCUAUCUGCCGUGGGCGCUGGAGAACUGAGGGGGGCUGCUCCUAGUACGAGAGGACCGGAGUGGACGCAUCACUGGUGUUCGGGUUGUCAUGCCAAUGGCACUGCCCGGUAGCUAAAUGCGGAAGAGAUAAGUGCUGAAAGCAUCUAAGCACGAAACUUGCCCCGAGAUGAGUUCUCCCUGACUCCCUGAGAGUCCUGAAGGAACGUUGAAGACGACGACGUUGAUAGGCCGGGUGUGUAAGCGCAGCGAUGCGUUGAGCUAACCGGUACUAAUGAACCGUGAGGCUUAACCUUACAACGCCGAAG
rnacentral:rRNA from 1 species